GCUUGUUUGAAUGGUUUGACGUGAGAGAUGCGAAUAUUUAGUAUUAAUUUGAUUUGGUGUUAGGGAUACAGAAUUCCUAAAUGUUUAAUAAGACGGAAAGACCCUGGGAUCUUUUUUUUUCGCUUGGGGCAAGUUUCAUUAUUUCAAUGAAAUUAGGAUCUUAAGUAUAGAUUAUUGGGUUAAGUUACCCCAGGGAUAACAGUGUGAUAAUUAAUAAGAGAUCUUAUCGAAUUAAUUGUUUGCCACCUCGAUGUUGACUUAGGUUAGAAUUUAGGUGUAGUAGC
rnacentral:rRNA from 1 species